CGUUCAAGUCCAUUCACUUCUUUCUGUUUUUACUGCAGCUAUAAUCAGCGCCGAAUCGCCGGGAAAAUGGCUCUUACAUGGGGCAAUCCGCAACAAGAAAGUGGAAAAGGCCUACACACUCAGGAGAGUGGUGAUUCAGGUUUCUCAGCUGACAUGAAGCACAACUUUAGUGACGAUUACAAAGACAACAUGGCUGAUUAUAGCCCGCCUGUUGCGAAUAAAGGAAGUUCUGUGAGACCCAUGUCAAACGAAGCAUUAGAGAUCUCUGAGCUCAAAGUGAUAAGUAAUGAAAUGCCACCGCAAUUGGCACGAGAGCUUGAGCCCUUUGUGUCUGCUGGAGAAGAGGUGGCUGACCUGAGGAAGCAGUUAAGACCUUACCCGGAAGAGCAACCAUUUCAAAAGAAGAUGGACGGAGGGCCAGAAGAACGUUUUCCACCAUGUUGGCCGAAACAGAAAGCAAGAAACAAGCAUCCAGGAAGUGAAAGAACCACUAAACGCCGCAGCAGAAACAUUAAGUGGAAAUCCUUUACUGGUGUGUGCUGUUGCAUUUUGGCAGUGGGACUAGUUGGUGUCCGUGAGGUAUCUGCUGGCAAUCUGGAGCCGACAUCUGACCUGAAGAAUAAUAAGACAUCUGCUCACGGACGCUCUUGUUUUAUCUGCAAGGACAAGGACAAGUGUCCAAACCUGAUAAUGAUAUUUGCGGAAAAUGAUGUUCUUGUCUAUGACAGACCCAUUAAUGAAAACAUCCCAAACUGCACCGGAGCCCCUCCAAUCACACAUAACUGUUCUGUGUGCUGGUCUCAGUCAGAUGUGAACAUCUACUGUUCAAACAACAUCAGAAAGUUUGAGGCUGAAGAUAGCCAUGGAUCAGCCAUCUCAAACAUCACUAAAGGGUGUGAACAGCAGCAGAAAUUUGACCCUACUCCUAAUGGACCAAUUCACAAAGGAAGUAUGUGUACCGUUUAGGGGCACACAACUACCACAUACUAUGGCUUUUGCAGGUCACGCUCAUUUACAUAUUGGAAUCAUAUGUGUUGUUGUUGCCCUUUUGAUGGUGUUCCUAAUUAUGGUGAUCGUAAGUGUGCCUCAUUGAAGACAAAACUUUCAAAAUGCCCUGCAGAGACCCUUAACUAUCAGAUUUGUGCAUGCGAGAUGUUCCAUGUUCUGCUUUUGCGGUCAUACUAAGCCUUUUAACGGAUAUAAAAUUACUCAUAUACAUUAUGCUAAAAACUGCCUUAAUCUGUGUUUAAAUGAAAUUUUUACUUUUAUGUAUAGCUCUACAAGAAAAAAAAGGUGUGCUGAUUUCUUUACUUGUCAGAUUUUUAAAUAAGUCUUAUUAACAUUUGUUUAAUAAAAUUUUUAGAAUGACGUGUUCUUUCUUUAAUCAUCUAUGUACAAGAAACCAAAAAGUCAACUUAUCCUCAAAACAAACCAAGUUAAUUAGGGGACGGAUAAAUUCUGUAACCUUGAACUAUUUCCUCUAACAUGUUGUGUGUAUGUGUAAAUAAUAUAGGUAACAAGAUGUAAACAAUAAAGAAGAUCCAUGGAGAAGAUUAUCACAGCUGGUCCGGCAGCCAUUUUUUCCUUUUUUGUGCUUUUUUUUGUUUGUUUGAUACUGUCACUUCUUAAGAAUUUGCUUUAAGUCUUUUCCUUUUAAGUUAUCCACACAUUUUAUCAGUUUAAUACAUUUUAUUCCAACCCCAAUUUUAAUGAAGUCUGGACAUUGUGUAAAACAAUAAUUUGCAAAUCCUGUUCAAUCUAUGUGCAGUUGAAUACACUAUAAAGACAAGAUAUUUAACGUUCAAACCGAUAAAUAAAAUUUUUUUUUUGCAAAUAUUUAGUCAUUUUGAAUUUGAUGCUUGCAUGUUUACCACUGUGUUACAUCACUUUUCCUUUUAACACCAACCAAUAAGAGUUUGGGAUCUGAGGACGCUAAUUGCUGAAGCAAUUCUUGCUUGAUGUACAACUUCAGUGGCUCAGCAGUCCAGGUCUGGACUGCAGGCAGACCAGUCUAGUACCCACACUCUUUCACUAUGAAGCCACACUGUUGUAGCACGCCAGAAUGUGGCUUGGUAUUGUCGUGCUGAAAUAAGCAGGAUGUCCCUGAAAAACACGUUAGGAUGGCAGCAUACAUUGCUCCACAACCUGUAUGCACCUUUCAGCAUUAAUGGUGCCUUCGCAGAUGUGCAAGUUCCCCACGCCAUGGGUCCAAACUCGCCACCAUACCAUCACAGGCGCUAGCUUUUGAACUUGAUUUGAGCUGAUAAUCCAAAUAGUCCUUUUCCUCUUCCCACACAUACCAACUUCACUGGAAUUGUGGUUGUACUCAUAUGACUGCUUGUCAUUUUGGUUUUCAAUCAACUGCUUAUUAGAUGUAAAAUUCUUCAGGUUACUCAACUGUUAAUUAAAUGUUAGUCCUAUUCUCUUUGCAAUCUAAAAACAAUAAAAAUGUAUUUAAUAUGAA